GGGUUAUAUUGGAUCCCAUGAGAGACUAGAAUUACCAGUUAGAGGUCAAUUUGUGACGACAGAAUUUGAACCUUGCUUUGAUGCUGCUGAUUUUCAAUGUGCUGGAAAGGACAUUUUUGCCAGUUAAGUCACAUCACCCGAUGUGGUUUUCUUCAACAUGGCUGUCAAUGAAUGUUCUGAUGUUGGACCAUAACCGGGUGGUUGUAGAUGCAAACGAGAUUCCUACUCAAAGACUUUUCGAGAAACUUGGUAUGGAAUGCAUCAAGG
rnacentral:misc_RNA from 1 species